rnacentral:lncRNA from 1 species
GCGCUAUCACAUUCGGCAUCCAUCGUAUUUUUAUUUAUCAGUUGUCAAAUUAGACCAAUAUGUGGUCUGCAUCCCCUGCAUAAUUGAUCCUUUUACAUACAUGUCAGACUCCACUCCUUUAUUUCUUUAAUGGCUUUCAGUUAUUUGGUGGACACAGGGAAUUGAUUCCAAGUUCCCUCCCCAAACUCCUACUUCACUCCAUAUUCUGUUCCUCUGCACUCUUAUUUUUUCAUCAACAAGAAUUAUCCCUGUUUUAUCAAACUUUUCUCACGAUUAAGACCACCCUGCCUCAAGCUUUCAUCCAUCAAAUUCUCAUUUCUAGUCCUCUUAUUCCACAGUUCCCAUAAUUCUGUCCAACCCCUUUAUUUAAAGUGUCCCAAUGACUCGCACCCAUUAACAACCCAUCAUUCGACAAAUUAUAUUAAACAACCUGAUUUGUCUCCUAUAUGCAAAAAUUACGAGUCAGGUUUUUUUGCUUUAAUAUAAAUGGCAAUUUUUUUUCACACAUCUCGUUUUUGAACUCCCAUGCGUAUUUGUUACUAUCAACUAUAUGGCAUCAAUG